rnacentral:misc_RNA from 1 species
CAUUGCCCGCAGACCCUUU